CUAUAAUGCAGUCGAGCGAGCCGAACUAAUUGAUUACCUUCGGGUAUGAAGUUAGGGAAGCGAGCGGCGGAUGGGUGGGUAACACGUGGGUAACCUACCCUAUAGUCUGGGAUACCACUUGGAAACAGGUGCUAAUACCGGAUAAAAGGAGAGAUCACAUGAUUUCUUUUUGAAAGGCGGCGUAAGCUGUCGCUAAAGGAUGGACCCGCGGUGCAUUAGCUAGUUGGUAAGGUAACGGCUUACCAAGGCAACGAUGCAUAGCCGAGUUGAGAGACUGAUCGGCCACAUUGGGACUGAGACACGGCCCAAACUCCUACGGGAGGCAGCAGUAGGGAGUCUUCCACAAUGGACGCAAGUCUGAUGGAGCAACGCCGCGUGAGUGAAGAAGGUUUUCGGAUCGUAAAGCUCUGUUGUUGGUGAAGAAAGAUAGUGAGAGUAACUGCCCAUUAUUUGCCGGUAAUCAACCAGAAAGUCACGGCUAACUACGUGCCAGCAGCCGCGGUAAUACGUAGGUGGCAAGCGUUGUCCGGAUUUAUUGGGCGUAAAGCGAGCGCAGGCGGAAAGAUAAGUCAGAUGUGAAAGCCCUCGGCUUAACCGAGGAAUAGCAUCGGAAACUGUCUUUCUUGAGUGCAGAAGAGGAGAGUGGAACUCCAUGUGUAGCGGUGGAAUGCGUAGAUAUAUGGAAGAACACCAGUGGCGAAGGCGGCUCUCUGGUCUGUAACUGACGCUGAGGCUCGA
rnacentral:rRNA from 1 species